GUUUCCGAAUGCUGCAUAACCAACACAACCACAGAGUAUGUAGAAAAGACUGGUGGUUGAGAUGCCGACAAAAGUUGCCCUCUUCAUUGCUUUGUUUUCUGGUGGGCUUGAUCUCAAUGUGUCCUGUAAAUUCAUGGGAACAGGGACAUGCUGGGCCAAACCUUGGCCCCGGGGGAAUGAUGCAAGCGACAAGAGUUGGAACAUCAUCAAAAUGGGGUCCACAGGAAGAAGUUUGUUGGACCGUCGUCUCAAAUCCAUACGAAACUCUGUGAUGGUGAUGUAAUGAAUCUGCACCCAAACCCAGAAAGAAAGGAAGAUGCCAUUUUUCUGGGUGCUGAAGAUUGGGACCGCCUUUACAGUACAGUGGAUGUGGUCCACGCAAUUUCUAUGGUCCAUAGAAUCCAAAUCCGAGCCGAAAUUUCAACCACAAUCAUUCUUAUCCAAACGAAAAACAGAGUUCAACGAUAAUUGGUAUGUAUACUUGCGACUUUUGCGAUGGACAGGCCGACGCCAAUGCUAGCGUAAGCAAACGACAUGACAGCGGCGAGAAUAGAGAGCCAUGAGAGCUUGUGGAAGUUGGGAAUUUGGCUGAGCAACACUUGCAUGGCCGAAAAUAGUAGCAUGUAUGGAACACCAGAGACGGUGCAGUCUGCCUGAUGCCCAUUCUUGUGGUAGCAAUUUGACUUCUUCACCGCUCUGAUUUCAUUUCAUUAGUCACAAAAUCAUUGUUAACUUAGCAUUUUAAACCAUCUUAAUUUACAUCUCGGGUUGGUCUAC